rnacentral:rRNA from 1 species
CAGCCGCCGCGGGAAUACGAAGGGGGCUAGCGUUGUUCGGAAUUACUGGGCGUAAAGCGCACGUAGGCGGAUACUUAAGUCAGGGGUGAAAUCCCGGGGCUCAACCCCGGAACUGCCUUUGAUACUGGGUAUCUCGAGUCCGGAAGAGGUGAGUGGAAUUCCGAGUGUAGAGGUGAAAUUCGUAGGUAUUCGGAGGAACACCAGUGGCGAAGGCGGCUCACUGGUCCGGUACUGACGCUGAGGUGCGAAAGCGUGGGGAGCAAACAGGAUUAGAUACCCGAGUAGUCCCUGUCUCUUAUAC